rnacentral:rRNA from 1 species
GGACAAGAAGACCCUAAGAAUUUUAAAAUUAAUAAGUUUUUAUAAAAAAAAUUAUUGGUUUUUAGUUGGGGCAACUAAAAAAUAUUAUAAACUUUUUUUAAAUAAAAUGAUCCAUUAUUAAUGAUUAUUUGGAAAAAUACUCUAGGGAUAACAGCGUAAUAAUUUUUGAUAGAACAUAUAGACAAAAUAGUUUGCGACCUCGAUGUUGGAUUAGGAUUCUUUUUUCAAUGAAGAUGUUAAAAAAAGAAGUUUGUUCAACUUUUAAAGUCCUACUUGAUCUGAGUUCAGACGGG